UACGUAGGUGGCAAGCGUUAUCCGGAUUUACUGGGCGUAAAGGGCGCGUAGGCGGGCAUGCAAGUCAGAUGUGAAAUACCGAGGCUUAACCUUGGGGGGUCAUUUGAAACUGCAUGUCUUGAGUGAUGGAGAGGCAGGCGGAAUUCCUAGUGUAGCGGUGAAAUGCGUAGAUAUUAGGAGGAACACCAGUGGCGAAGGCGGCCUGCUGGACAUUAACUGACGCUGAUGCGCGAAAGCGUGGGGAGCAAACAGG
rnacentral:rRNA from 1 species